AUGAUCUCUCCCACUCAAAGUGCCUUUAUACCCGAAAGGUUAAUUUCAGAUAACGCACUUAUUGCUUUUGAAUGUAUUCAUUCGUUGAGUACUUUAAAAGAUCAGCGUGGAGAGUUCUGUGCUUAUAAGUUGGACCUGGCAAAAGCGUAUGAUCGCGUAGAUUGGCAUUUUUUAAAGAGUAUGCUAGGGGCUUUUGGUUUUGCGCCAACUUGGAUUAACUGGAUCAUGACAUGUGUUACUUCAGUGAAAUUUUCAGUCCGAUUUAAUGGUCAAUUGUUGGAACCUUUUUAUCCUUCUUGUGGGCUCAGGCAAGGGGAUUCAUUAUCGCCGUACUUGUUCCUGUUUGUGGCUGAAGCCCUAUCUUUGUUAUUAAAGGAUGCAUGUGACAAAGGUGGUCUAAAGGAUUUCCACUUGAACAGACAUGCACCAGGUAUUUCUCAUCUAUUAUUUGCAGAUGAUAGUCUUCUGUUUUUCAAGGGGUCCAUAGAUCAAGCCUUGGUCAUUAAAAAUACUAGAUAA
rnacentral:rRNA from 1 species